AGCACCUUUAUGAGUUUUUGUUUAAUAUGUAGACAAAGACUUUGAGACGUGUUAAAACUAAGUCUCUUUUGCAACCCAAAACUCACUACUCAUUGUUCUAUAUGAGUUCUGAUACAGAUAAGAAAGAGCAUU